GAGCGUGUAGUUCAGUGGUAGAACGCUGUUCUGAUAAGACAGAGGCCGAUGGUUCGAUCCCAUCCACGCUCA
rnacentral:tRNA from 1 species